rnacentral:rRNA from 1 species
UACGAAGGGGGCUAGCGUUGCUCGGAAUUACUGGGCGUAAAGGGCGCGUAGGCGGAUACUUAAGUCGGGGGUGAAAUCCUGGAGCUCAACUCCAGAACUGCCUUUGAUACUGAGGAUCUUGAGUUCGGGAGAGGUGAGUGGAACUGCGAGUGUAGAGGUGAAAUUCGUAGAUAUUCGCAAGAACACCAGUGGCGAAGGCGGCUCACUGGCCCGAUACUGACGCUGAGGCACGAAAGCGUGGGGAGCAAACAGG